rnacentral:rRNA from 1 species
CAGCCGCCGCGGUAAUACAGAGGGUGCGAGCGUUAAUCGGAUUUACUGGGCGUAAAGCGUGCGUAGGCGGCUUCUUAAGUCGGAUGUGAAAUCCCUGAGCUUAACUUAGGAAUUGCAUUCGAUACUGGGAAGCUAGAGUAUGGGAGAGGAUGGUAGAAUUCCAGGUGUAGCGGUGAAAUGCGUAGAGAUCUGGAGGAAUACCGAUGGCGAAGGCAGCCAUCUGGCCUAAUACUGACGCUGAGGUACGAAAGCAUGGGGAGCAAACAGGAUUAGAUACCCCCGUAGUCCGUGUCUCUUAUAC